ACUACGACUCUCGACAAUGGAUAUCUCGGCUCUCGCUUCGAUGAAGAACGUAGCGAAAUGCGAUACCUUGUGUGAAUUGCAGAAUCCCGUGAAUCAUCGAAUCUUUGAACGCAAGUUGCGCCCGAGGCCUAGGCUGAGGCCACGUCUGCCUGGGUGUCGUGAAA
rnacentral:rRNA from 1 species